AUUGAACGCUGGCGGCAUGCCUUACACAUGCAAGUCGAACGGUAACGGGCCUUCGGGUGCCGACGAGUGGCGAACGGGUGCGUAAUACAUCGGAACGUGCCCGAUCGUGGGGGUUAACGAGGCGAAAGCUUUGCUAAUACCCCAUACGACCUACGGCUGACAGCGGGGGACCGCAAGGCCUUGCGCGACCUGAGCGGCCGAUGUGAGAUUAGGUAGUUGGUGGGAUAAAAGCUUACCAAGCCGACGAUCUGUAGCUGGUCUGAGAGGAUGAUCAGCCACACUGGGACUGAGACACGGCCCAGACUCCUACGGGAGGCAGCAGUGGGGAAUUUUGGACAAUGGGCGCAAGCCUGAUCCAGCCAUGCCGCGUGCAGGAUGAAGGCCUUCGGGUUGUAAACUGCUUUUGUACGGAAAGAAAAGCCUUCUUUUAAUACAGGAGGGUCAUGACGGUACCGUAAGAAUAAGCACCGGCUAACUACGUG
rnacentral:rRNA from 1 species